UAGGGAAUCUUCCACAAUGGACGCAAGUCUGAUGGAGCAACGCCGCGUGAGUGAAGAAGGUCUUCGGAUCGUAAAGCUCUGUUGUUGGUGAAGAAGGAUAGAGGCAGUAACUGGUCUUUAUUUGACGGUAAUCAACCAGAAAGUCACGGCUAACUACGUGCCAGCAGCCGCGGUAAUACGUAGGUGGCAAGCGUUGUCCGGAUUUAUUGGGCGUAAAGCGAGCGCAGGCGGAAUGAUAAGUCUGAUGUGAAAGCCCACGGCUCAACCGUGGAACUGCAUCGGAAACUGUCAUUCUUGAGUGCAGAAGAGGAGAGUGGAACUCCAUGUGUAGCGGUGGAAUGCGUAGAUAUAUGGAAGAACACCAGUGGCGAAGGCGGCUCUCUGGUCUGCAACUGACGCUGAGGCUCGAAAGCAUGGGUAGCGAACAGGAUUAGAUACCCUGGUAGUCCAUGCCGUAAACGAUGAGCGCUAGGUGUUGGGGACUUUCCGGUCCUCAGUGCCGCAGCAAACGCAUUAAGCGCUCCGCCUGAGGAGUACGACCGCAAGGUUGAAAC
rnacentral:rRNA from 1 species